CCUACGGGUGGCAGCAGUGGGGAAUAUUGGUCAAUGGGCGGGAGCCUGAACCAGCCAUGCCGCGUGAAGGCGAGUGCCCUACGGGCGUUAAACUUCUUUUGUGCGGGAGCAAUAAGGGCCACGCGUGGCCCGAUGAGAGUACCGCACGAAUAAGCAUCGGCUAACUCCGUGCCAGCAGCCGCGGUAAUACGGGGGAUGCGAGCGUUAUCCGGAUUUAUUGGGUUUAAAGGGUGCGUAGGCGGAAUAUCAAGUCAGCGGUAAAAAUUCGGGGCUCAACCCCGUCGUGCCGUUGAAACUGAUGUUCUUGAGUGGGCGAGAAGUAUGCGGAAUGCGUGGUGUAGCGGUGAAAUGCAUAGAUAUCACGCAGAACUCCGAUUGCGAAGGCAGCAUACCGGCGCCCAACUGACGCUGAAGCACGAAAGCGUGGGUAUCGAACAGGAUUAGAUACCCCUGUAGUC
rnacentral:rRNA from 1 species